rnacentral:siRNA from 1 species
UGGCUCUCAUCCUCCCCUACCGAC